rnacentral:rRNA from 1 species
UAGAGUUUGAUCCUGGCUCAGAACGAACGCUGGCGGCGUGCCUAAGACAUGCAAGUCGUACGGAAAGGCCCCCUUCGGGGGGCACUCGAGUGGCGCACGGGUGAGUAACGCGUGGGUAAUCUGCCUUCGGGUCUGGGACAACCCCGGGAAACUGGGGCUAAUACCGGAUGAGACCACGGACCCUUCGGGGUCUGCGGAAAAAGAUGGCCUCUCCUUGGAAGCUAUCGCCUGUCGAUGAGCCCGCGUCCCAUUAGCUUGUUGGUGAGGUAACGGCUCACCAAGGCUUUGAUGGGUAGCUGGUCUGAGAGGAUGAUCAGCCACACUGGAACUGAGACACGGUCCAGACUCCUACGGGAGGCAGCAGUCGGGAAUUUUGGGCAAUGGGCGAAAGCCUGACCCAGCAACGCCGCGUGAGGGAUGAAGGCCCUCGGGUCGUAAACCUCUGUCGGGAGGGAAGAACGGUUGCCAUUCGAAUAGGUUGGCAGCCUGACGGUACCUCCAAAGGAAGCACCGGCUAACUCCGUGCCAGCAGCCGCGGUAAUACGGAGGGUGCGAGCGUUGUUCGGAAUCAUUGGGCGUAAAGCGCGUGUAGGCGGCUUGGCAAGUCGGAUGUGAAAUCCCGGGGCCCAACCCCGGAACUGCACUCGAAACUGCCUCGCUAGAGUCCCGGAGAGGAAGGCGGAAUUCCCGGUGUAGAGGUGAAAUUCGUAGAUAUCGGGAGGAACACCAGCGGCGAAGGCGGCCUUCUGGACGGUGACUGACGCUGAGACGCGAAAGCGUGGGGAGCAAACAGGAUUAGAUACCCUGGUAGUCCACGCCGUAAACGUUGGGUGGACUAACUGUUGGGCGGGUUUCCGCUUAGUGGUGCAGCUAACGCAAUAAGUUGACCGCCUGGGGAGUACGGCCGCAAGGCUAAAACUCAAAUGAAUUGACGGGGGCCCGCACAAGCGGUGGAGCAUGUGGUUUAAUUCGAUCCAACGCGAAGAACCUUACCUACCCUUGACACAUACAGAGAACUUUCCAGAGAUAGAUUGGUGCCUUCGGGAGCUCUGAUACAGGUGCUGCAUGGCUGUCGUCAGCUCGUGUCGUGAGAUGUUGGGUUAAGUCCCGUAACGAGCGCAACCCUUAUCCUUAGUUGCUACCAUUUAGUUGGGCACUUUAAGGAGACUGCCGGUGAUAAACCGGAGGAAGGUGGGGAUGACGUCAAGUCAGCAUGGCCUUUAUGUCUGGGGCUACACACGUGCUACAAUGGCCGGUACAAACCGUCGCGAGCCCGCGAGGGGGAGCUAAUCGGAGAAAGCCGGUCUCAGUUCGGAUUGCAGGCUGCAACUCGCCUGCAUGAAGUUGGAAUCGCUAGUAAUCGCGGAUCAGCACGCCGCGGUGAAUACGUUCCCGGGCCUUGUACACACCGCCCGUCACAUCACGAAAGCUGGCUGUACUAGAAGUCGCCGAGCUAACCCGCAAGGGAGGCAAGCGCCUAAGGUAUGGUUGGUGAUUGGGGUGAAGUCGUAACAAGGUAACCGUA